CGAGGGCGGCUGGCAGCUCGGGAGCUCAGCGCAGCGCGCUCGGGUUCCCACACCGACCUCCUCCCGAGCCCUCCGCCGUGUGGCUUCGGUCGCUACCGAGCCGCGCCUCCUCCGCUUCCUUCGCCUCCUCCUGACUGCCCUCGAGAGGCGCCGCCACUUCCUGCGGUGCUGAAGGGCUGGGGUAUGGGCCUGGGCCUACAGCGCGGCGGCGCAGAGAGCCGGCUGGUCGUUGACUUGAGGUGUUGAGGGGGGCCGCGACGGCGCUCCCCCUAGGGCGCCUCGGUUGACUGGCAGUUCUGCUUCACAUGGGCCCAGGCACAGCUGGAAGUUCCAAAAUGGCUUCCCUCACACGGUGGGCAGUUUGUGCGGGCUAGAGGCUGCCUUAGAAUGGUCGUGGGUCAGGGGCCUUGGCUCUUCUCCACUCGGACCUCUCCAUAAAGGCCUUUCACAUGACUGCUUGGGUUGCCUCACAAACUGGAGGGUGAGUUCCAAGAAGGAGCAUUUAAAGACAAGAGUCUCAGCCAACUCAGAAGGAUAGAGAGAAAAUUAUGAGGAUGGGAUCUCUGAAACCCUACCCAGAUGGAAUUCUGGGAAAACUGGCAGAAGGGUAAGAGUUCUUAUUAAAAUCAGCUCUCCUG